rnacentral:lncRNA from 1 species
UGUUGGGGGGAAUAAAGUUUCCCCCCAAAUGACAUAAAUGCCCCUAAGAAGCCGUACAACCUCCGACCCCGGACAGCCGAAGUCAGCGUCCGACCUCGGAACGCUCGGCCACAAGACGACCGACCCCGAAACCUCCGACCUAAGAGAAACCCCGAUGUCCGAGGACCGUACUCUAACACCCCUCCGGCAUUUAUUGCGCAUGGCCGCUGUAAUCUUCCGGCACACUCAACAAUAAAUGCGGAUCUCCGGCUUACUCCAUAAUAAAUGCGGAUCUCCGGCUUACUCCACCAAUAAUGCGGACCUCCGGCUUACUCCACCAAUAAUGCGGACCUCCGGCUUACUCCAUAAUAAAUGCGGAUCUCUAACUUACUCCACAAUAAAUGCGCAUGGCUCCUGACAUCUACGGAUCCCCAGCUCUCCACGGCAAAUCGACCCAGCAGGGUCUAGUCGACUAUGAUAAGUCUCUGAUCUCGGCCAUACCGCCGACAUCAGUGCAAUGAUUCGCCUGACCGAGCGCCGACCUGAACAACAUGCCAAGCCGUACUACGGCCUCGCCCUGUUACAUCACAGGUAAACCGACCCCCGCAUAUAAAAGGGAGCCUUGGCCUCUCAAGAGGGGAUUGGAACAUUCAUACACCCAAAAAUCACUGUUUAUCUCCUUCUCCCCACUAUUUGCCCCCUCCCUGACUUGAGCGUCGGAGGGCCGGCGCCGGAGAACCCGGCCACCGGUUCGUGUGCAGGCACCCGGACGGAGGACGCCGCCAGCCAACGGAUCGCCGCCCCGCUGCGAGGACCUGCUGUUCCUUCUCUCCGACCGCCCCGGACGGAGGACGCCGCCCGCCGACAGACCGCCGCCCCGCCGUGAGGACUAACAGUCGCUCCCUCUC